UUUUUUUUUUUUUUUUGCAUUGUAUUCCCUUGGGGAAUAUUAUAAAGACUAUUUUAGAACAUUUAAAGUCAUUUUAGAAAAGUUUUGGGGAAUGAAUGUCGUGAAAUAGAUUGAAUCAAGUGUUAUUUCAAUUUAAAUGUUUUUUUUUCAAGGCAUCAACUUCAAUCUGUGAUACAUGAAAAGGGUUAUAGAAGAGAUUUCCCAUCCUCAACAGCUAACUCUUCAUCAUCAAAAUGAUAGGAUGUAUUCAAACCAUAUUAUGCAUAAUCUAAACGAAAUUCGACAAAAAAUUCGUUCAAACUCAAUUCGACAAAUAAUCAAAUCAAAUUUGAAUAAAUUUCAAGUUCAUUAAAAUCAUCAAAUAAAUUUAAACACCAGAGUGUUCAACUUAGUUAAGUUCAUUUACACCUCUAGUUGCUAUAAUGCUAAAAACAAAAGGAAAUAAAACGUCGUUAAAUUCUCAGAAAAACCCUAAAGAGAAAAGGAAAAAUUGAACAAAAGUAAGUAUUUUGUUGAAUAGAAAAUCAAAUAAUCAUAUUCAUUAAAUACCUCCAUAGGCUACAUUACAUAAAUUAGAAUAAUGUUCCGGAUGUACACAUGCUAUAAUUUGUAAAUUAUGAACCAUAAGCACACUCAAACUUAGAACAAACAAUUGCUUCCGCGCUUACAUUCCCUCACAGGUAAUUUAAUUCUCUCAUUUUUAACAUAAUUGCCACAAUGGAGAAACCUAUAUUUCUUACAAAAGAAAAUCAAUACGCCACCUAAAAUUCGUAUAAAGAAUGAAAUCAAUAUAUAUAAUACCCUGCAACAAUUUUGCAUGUUGUAACAAGUAAAUUUACAAGAGAUUGUAUGAACUCUAGCAUCCAGCUGCUUUCAAAAAUUUGUCAUAUGGGCUUGAAGGUGGAAGUCUAAAGGACUGUUCUUGUACACACUCCUGUGCACAUGGAAGCUGAAUCCGACUUUGAAUUAGUUGACUGUUUGUGGAUUUUAUGUCUCCUGAUAGAUCCAAUACCUACAUGAAGUGAUCAGAAGCCUCAACAAUCAGCAACAGAAAUCUUGACUCACAAACUAGAGCCGUUGAGAUAUUGGUCAAUAUCCUGUAUGUGAGAUUUAAUAAACCUUCAAAUUGGCAACCGUUCAGCUGGAUAAUUUAUGAGUAAUCAGUUGCCUUCAUAGGAACAGGAGGAAUGUAGUAGGCUAAGUCUUGGGUUUAGGUUAUCUAAGAAAUGUACAAAUCCUCACCCCACCCACCCUGAUGAAAGGCAAAAAACCCAUGACAGUAAAUGCAUAAUUGAUGCACAGAGGCAAAACAUGUGCACAGAGAGAGAGAGGAAGGGAGUUUCACCUUGUUUGAUAAAACAGGCCCCUUAUUUUCAUUUUCACAUGCACUAAGUAUAGCCUUUGCUUCUUGUUGCACCUUGAAACUCUGAAGGGCCAGCAUCUUUUGUUGUUUACCAUUUACAAGGGCCUCGCAUUGACUCUUUACUUGAUCAUAAGGUAUUGGAGUAGAAGAAACUGGCAGGCUUGCAACAUGGCGAGCUGUUUCCAAGACCUGCUCAUGGUACAAAAUAAUCAUUGUGCAGUAGUAUGCAAGCUUGUGUCAUAGCAUGGUAGUACAUAAACAAUGAAUUGGUUUAUGAAGGCAAAUUAAUCUUCAUUUUUCCUCCUAAGAACUGAUUCAACUGUUGAUAGAGACUUCAUUGAUGGUGCAAUAGGCCACAAAUGAUCUAUUGGAAUGACAGUAGCAUGACUAGAAACAUAUAUCUGAAGGUAGUUCAAGAAAGCUGAAUUGCAAAUGUUGCAGAACUCUUUAAUAGUUCAAGAGUUUGUGGAAAACAUCAGUUUGGGCACCAAAGAGAGUGGAAAGCUGUAGAUUAGAUGAACCAAUAUCUCCCGUAGUGAACUUCUUCCAUUAGGAAAUAAUUUGAUCCUUCGUUUGACCGCUAUUGUGGUAAUCUGCUAGGAACUAUUUGCUUUAGAUCUUAUCAAAUCAUGUUUGGACCGCAAAAAUGUUAUAAUUUAGAUAGUAUGUUCCAAGUAUUAAGUGAACUUGAAUUUUUUAUCAUACCAUCAAGCAUUAUGAAUAACAGACAAAAGAAAGGAUCAAUUACCAACAAGAAGGAAAAAUUCAGUUCUUUCCUAUGGAUCUCUCUGUAAUGCUUCCUCAGGUUCCUAACUGAUUUUACCCAGAAGUGGGCAUUAUCAUUCAGAAAUUAACAAACGUAAGCAAAGAAAAACUUAGUAACACCAAGAGCCCAGAUUGAUGUAAACAUUUCUCAGGAAAAAAGACAUUAUCUUCAACUUUAAAUUUAGACUCAGAACCACUUGGUACCAUUGUGCUUCUGAGCAAAGUAGAGAAUACCAGUUUCAAUGAUACUACUGUAAAAGUAAUUGAUGCCAACGAACUCUUCUUGAGAAUUUGGAUGUUAUGAUUUUCAUUUGUGUGAUGCCAAAGUUGGUCCACAAGAAAAAGUUCCUAUGCUCAUGCAUAUUCUAAUACUGAUGAUUCUGCCUUGCUAAUAACAGUCUUGGUUUAGUAGAAGCAUCCGUUGUAGGGAAACAGAGUGAGGGGUGUCGGAAGAACCAUGAUGUGUAACUUGCUCAAGAUCUAAACAAGGUGUAGUAGAUAUAAUAUGUUUCCACAUUCUUUCUUGAACCAUUUUAGUUUUCAAUCUGCUUUUUAACUUUCUGAAUUUACCCAACUAGGUUAUGAAUUUGAAGAACAUCGACCGUUAUCUUAUUUAAUGGAAAUAUUACAAAAGUUUGCCAUCAACUACAGAAAUACUAACAAUACCUUCAAACGACAAAGUUAUGUGUGAAACUAAGAGGAAGUGAUUAUGAAGUAAAAAGCAAUUACUUACAGAUUCCAAGAGCUGGUUGACGCUAAGUAUGUCAAGCGAAUUGACAGACAGAGAUGUCUUACGCCCAGAUUGACUUCCACUUGCAUCAGGAAAAGAUUCUUCAUCGGCUAACCCAGCUGGUGCCAUGAUCUGAGAGCAAAAAAGUUCACUUAAACUGAGUAAAACACCAGGCUAACCAAUGCCUAAUUAUUUUUUAACUAACCUCAUUAAAUGUCUGAAAAUCCAUUUCUGCAAGUGGAGAAGAAGGGCAUGGUGUCUCCAUGAACAAUGGAGCUCCCAACGGGUACGCAUCAUCUGGUGAAAAUCCUUCUUGAAGUUGGCUUUUUAUGUUUGACAACUCAGCCUAGAAGUAGACAGAUGAGAAGUUUGAAGCAGAACGAUCAAAAUUAUUUUCCUUAAUACCCAAAAAAAGAAAAAAAAAAAAAGGACCAGUAAUAUAAAGACUUUCAACCUAAACUUGUACUUUUAUGCCUAAAGGUUCUCAAAGUAGUAUAUUUGCUAGUUUGCAGAAGUAGAAAGGUCAAGAAAUAAUUCCACAGGAAUACAAACUUAUCUAAAAGCUUAAGCAAUUACUGUAUUCAUCACAAUUUGUUUUCCUUUGACCUGGCAUAACCCUUUUACUUGAAAGUAUAAUAUAACUUGAGAUAAUUAUGUGGAACAGAAAAGUAUAGCAGCAUGAUUUAACCUUCAAUACUCCAUCAUUUUAAAAGGUGCAUUGAUUGGAAAGUUGCAGGUAAAUCAAGUUUUAAUUGACUUCAGCAUGAAGAAGCAAGGGGUCACCCAAUGAAUAAAUAAGACGAAAACUUUGAUGUUAUCUUAAGAAACUUUGCCAAAAGGGCAAAAAAGGCGUGAAUUUGAGAGCAAUAUGUUUUAGAAUUAAGUUUAGAUACACUUCAAAUUUACCUAGAUUCUCUUUGAUGGUCAGACACAUGAGAGGGUGACAACUUGAACCAAUGAUAUUUUUCUACUUUAGUUUGUAAUGAUUAUACAACUCAUGAAUCACACAACAAAUUAGUAGUACCACAGACUGGCCAACAUAGAGUGAAAUUUCUUAAAGAAGCCCACUCAUGUGCUUAAUGAAAAAAUGUCCGGAAAUAACUAAUUGCGUUUUGAGAGCAGGAAUGUGAUGAGUAGUAGUAAUUUAGAUUACUCAUUUGAGUUCAAGUCAUUAUUAUGUUAAUAUCGAGACAAAUUUAGCUUAGGGCUGAGCUAUCUAGCCUAGUAAGGUUCAGCCCAUGGUGAACAAUGAGAAUAUAUAUCCAAAGAUUUCUAUAGCGAGGUAAAGUUUCCUGUUAUCCAUGUCUACCCAACUAAAAAUAAGUCAGAAGUAAAAGCAGAAGCUUCUUCCAGAAAAAAUUGCACAACUAUCAGUUAAACUUUAUGCACAUCUCAUAGAAAAUAAAUUCUCUCCACAAAUUUAUUGUCAGUUUGGAGAUUGACUUUAUUUAAUUGACACACCGCAUUCCAUUCUCUUCUGGACAUAAUGCAUUAUUGGUAAAUCUAGGUAUGAACACUAAGGAUUAAAUAACUGUAGCAGUUAGCUUGUCUGCUUCUAGUUGUUUCUAUCUGCUCUAUCUUCUUCUUUUUCCCUCAUAAAGAACUUAAAAGGGAAGAUGGAAAACUAAAGAGCACUAAUAGAGUACUGAAAAGAUAUUUUAGGUAGAUUGGCUGCCGCUGAAAUUUUUUCUUUCUACUUUUUCUUUUUCUUUUUUUUUUUAAGAACAAUAAUAUGCUGUAAAAUGAUUAGUAACUAGAGUCAUUUGAAACAAGCUCCUGCAACCACAUUGGAAAAGUUUAAUCUAGACUGUAGUUCCACAUUUUUAGUCCUAAUCUGAUAACCUAAUCGUGUCCAUUACUUCUGCAUCAAACAUGUUAAAGUCUGCAAAUCCAUAAAUAAGGUAUCCCCAUAUCAUGACACUAGAAAAAUGUUGUGUCUUCCACUUGAAGACCUUGCACUCAAUGGAUUGUUAUCAAUGACUUAUUUAGUAAGCUGCAUGGGGCCUACUACACCUCAAUUCCUGUAUAGAUGUCUCCAGAAAAUUCAAACCCAAUAUCAAAUAAAUGAUACCUAAGCCAAUUGGAGUAAAUAGCAGCAGGAUAAUGAUAACUUUGAUUGCUAAAGUACACGCAAGCAGCAUAUUCGUGGAUAUACAUUAAUACUUGGGCAUCCUACCUAAAAUGGUAAACAAACAGAAAGUACACAAUGUGAGGAAGUAAAAUUAUGUAUAUUACCUCUGACAAUCUUCCAUACUUGGUCAUGAAGUGAGAUAUAACAAGUUCUUUUAAAUGCUGGUCAUUCGACUCAAUUUUUGAAAGAGACUUCAGAGCAGCAACUUCAUCAUCCUGUGAUCCGUAUCCUUUAGUUUCAUUAAUGACUGUCGUGGACAAAGCCUGUAAUCUCAUAUCUUCAACUAAUUUAAGGUAUGGAUCAACCUGUCAGCAAGAUAUUUUUAUAAGUCCCAUCAUUAAUUUAAAAAGAAUAUAUAUAAGCAGAAAAGAUUUUCCGACUUUAUAUUUGAGUCCAUAUCAGAGUAAAUGAUCAAUCUACUCGGACAAAAGUAAAUUAUUCCUCUGUAAGUUUUUUACUACUUACUGUUUCAUCAGUCAAUGAUGACUUAAUAACAGGAAUUAUCUCAGGAAGAUUGCCUGCCCUGGCCAAAAAUAUAAGCAUGUAUGAAGCCAGAGUAAAGAGAGACCUCCUCUGAGACGGUUGAAGACCACCUUCAACAUGCAGGCAAGGAAUUAGAAUGAGAGAGACCACCAUCCGAUCAAUAAUAAAUGGACUCAAGAGACAUUUACAAGGAGCAGCAAUAACUCGUUAUAAUUCCUUAUCUUGGUCAGUCCAAUCUUUCCUGACUGAUACUAGAGUUUAACUCCUCACCUAGUGCAAGCUGGUGAUAUCAAGAACAUUGAAAUCCAACAUGCGCAUGUAAUCUUAUGUGAAAUUUAUCAAAGAUCCAGCUACUAUUCAAUUCCACUUAACAUUUUCAGGCUAAAUGUUCCUUCCAUUAUGUAGGAUGCAAAAACAUUAAGUUGUAUAUCUGCUAUUAUGGGUGUGCAUCAUUGAUUUUGUGCCAGAGAGAAGGUUUAAUUCUGAGGACUCUAGUGCAACCAGACAAUGAGCUGCAGCACAACCUACAUAUCUGACAACCACUGGCUUGGAUUUGCCAAAUACGUAUUUAGUUCUAUCAUGAUCAUUAACCAUAUGGAAUUUUGACAUCUACUGUGUGUCAUAAGCUGUGAUAUUCUUCUCUCUUCAUGUUUCAGGAGGGCUCCAGUCUCAUAGGAUUAUAUCACUAUAUCUAGUCCGUUUUCACUGACCACUGCUAUAAUUAUGAGAAUGAGACAUAUACCUCAUUCAGAGAUUUGAAGCAUUACGAAUGAUCGUUGACAUCAAGCAGAACCCAAAAACCAAGAAAAGUUAUAUACAUCACGAGGAAAUGUCAUCAACGAACACAUGCAUGAAGAGGACCACUCUCACAAGAUAAAUGAAAAUACUCCAUGAUUUGCCUAUUGAAUAUUCAUGAAAGGAUAAGAAGGAAAUCAAAUCAACCAACCAUCACUAUUAAGAGAGAUACUCCUCAGAGAAAAACCCAGCUGGAAACAUCGGACGAGGGCCAUGUGACUGGAAUUCUGUAUUUGUACAAAAUGAUAAUUAAAACCAGAGAUAACAACUGUGUAGACAAAAUAAUCAGAAAAAUAGGAGACUGGGACUAUCUUUGAAUUGAAAAAAUAGCAAAAAAUUAGGUGGAUCUGGUAAUAUGAUGUACUUCAUGAGAACUUUUAAAAAUUCUGUAAGCAAAAUAUGCAAAUUGUAAUUACAGAUGAUACUAGGCUUCAGUUAUCAAAUAUUAGACAGAUUUAUGUUUUAUUUCUUCCAAAGUAUGAAAAAAAUAUCCAGAAAAGUAGAUGCAAAAGUAGAGCAGGGCAGGAAUGACACUGCUUUUGAAGCCAAGGCAAGAGAAGGUAACAUGUUGUACAUGAUAAAAGACACAGUUAUUCUCCCGCCCUUGUAUCAGUUAAUAGGAUAGUUAGCUUGGUUAAUGCACUACAUAUGCAGUUGUAAUGUAAUGCAAAGACUUGUCAUGUUCAACCAAUUUUCCCCAAUCAACAAGUCAAGGCAAAUUUGCAGGACUAAAUCCAGACAUAGUACAUACGCGUUAACACAAAGGUGAAACCAUGUAUUCGAAGUUCUCCAAUAGACCAACUUUCAGACGGUUACAUUAAGGGUCCAUUUGGAAUGGGAAGCUUAUGGGGGUUUUUUACUAGACUUUAUUGUAGAAGUAGUUUUUAAAAAACUAUUAGAAUGUGCAUUUUAUUCUGGGUGUUUUUUGAAUUGCCUUUUUGAGCUGCUCGACAACCUCCCCUCCUCCACCUUCACAUCUCCCGCAUCCACCAUUGUUGCCCCCUCCCACCACCAGCCCUGCCCUACCCUCCCCUCCCCACCCCCCCCCAACAAAACCUCUGUCCCCUUCAUCCCACCACCACCGCUGCUCCUUCCUCCUCCUUCCUCCUCUCCCUCUCUCACUUCUCUUUUCUCCCCCCACCACAGCUUCCCACCUUCAUCCCCUCUAAGACUCCUCCUCCCCCUUCCUCCUCUCCCUCUCCCCUCCACCCUGGACCAUAUUUGGUCGCAAUCAAGAUGUGGUCAGAGGUGGUGGAGGGGGAAGAAAAAGAGGGGAGAGGGAGAGAGAGGAGGAAUGCAGUCAGGGGGGGUGGUGGAAGGGAGGAGUGAAGGGGACAGUGUUGAUUGGGAGUGGUGGUGGGGGGAGUUAGAGGGUGGUGGGCAGUGGUGGUGGUGCAGGAGGGAAGGAAGAGAUGAUUAUGUGGUGUUGGUGUGUUUUUAGUGAGGUUACUGUAGAUUUUCUUAGUGGGGAAAAACUAGUUCUGGAAAAAACAAUCAAUCCAAAUGCACUAAGUUUGUCUGGCAUUGUUGACACAGGUGAUACAUAAGUCCAAUUUGUCAAUAAAAAAUUGACUGAACAAUAUAUUUAUGUAUCAUCUUUUUUUCAUGUUAAUUCUGCAGCUUAACUAAAAAGACAGGUUACAGCUUCCAAGUGUAAAUGUUACAAGUCGCCAUGUGAAAUUGUAAUGGCUUAAAAAAAUUCUAUGGCAUGCAGAAUGUUCACCUUUGAUCGACUGAAGAGCAGACAAAUAGCAUAUGUAUGAGCCAUUGCCUCGAAAUUUGCAGGAAUAUUUUCUGCCGAUGUUGCCUGAACCCAGAUGGAUGAAAGAAGAAGAUUCACUUGGUGACUACGCAGCCGAAGGGAAGUAAGCCCCUAGAUAUUAACAAGUCAAAGAGACAUUAGGAUGAGCAGUAAGGUUUGUGAAAUCAAAAAAGUCUUCAACAAAAUUUAUGUAUGUGCUCACUCAUAUCUUAAAGUUUUGCAAAACAUAAAAUGGUGAAUGGCAUGACAAUUAGAGGCAAUAAGAUGAUUCAUACUUCUUUCCCUGCUGGAACAACACCCUUGAAGCUAUGUAAUUGGCCUUGUGACAUACUUCUGACAGAUUGAUCUUCAUAGGAAUCUUCUUCCUCUGUCAUUUCUCCAUCUGAAAAUUCAGAUUUGGCAUCAUUUUCAUCCAAAAGGGAAAAGCUUCUGAAUUUCACCUUCCGUGACAUCUUAGGAGACUGUUCUGAAAGAGUACGAGAGAGAUUCCGGUCCAAUAUUGACCACAUAUUGCUAAGAGAUGGCAUAAGCACCGUUGAGAAGAUAUGGUGUGCCCCAGCUCGUGUUUCAUGGUCUGAAUGUGCCAUUGCCAAUAGCAAGGGAUGAAAGAGAGUAUCAGGAAAUGCCUAAACAAGGAAUUGGAAGCAGAUGUUAUCAUCAUAUAGAAAUUGAACAAGAAACAUAGCAUCUUAAUCUUAAUGGUUGUACCUUCUUAUAAUAUGUUACAUUAGGAACUGUAGAUACAAUUUGUGCAGUUCGAUGUACAGCAUUGAUUGUUGCUCUUGCAGCAACAAAACCAGUUGGAAUGCUCUCCAGCACCACACCCAUCAUAUCGAGGAUGGGUCCAACAUCUGCAACCUGUUAUCAAGGAUGGGUCCACAAUUUCAUGUUUGUCCAAAUUAUAAUAUGAAUUAACUGCAUGGACAAUGAGGAUAGCUUUCUAAUAAAAGCAUUCCACGAAUUUGAUAAGUUACUUCAACAUGAGCAGAUCAAUAGAAAUCUAUUAACUGCUUCCAACAGCUGAAAGAAACCUAAUAAAUGCUAGGCUAAGAGUGUCUUUAAAAAGAAUGUAAGGAAGGAAGCAGAAAACAGAAGCACGGAAGGCAUGGUAACCAGACUUUUCGGUAAAGCAAUUUGUGAUGUCUUAAUGUUCUUUGGACACGUGAUUGCCUCUGCUCCAUGUGAUAACUGAAGUGGUCUAUAUUUUGCAUUAUGGGACUAAAACACAUAACUGAAGCUCGGGCCCAAAUAUUACAAGUCACAGGGUCAGCUAGCUGAAGAAGCACCCAUGGAAGUAUGCCUCACAACAAGAAGAGAGGCAUUUCCAAUUCUUCACUAUUAUCUUGCUGACUCCAAAUACAAUAUAUCAAAGGAUUCCUUGGCUAUCAAAGGAUUCCUUGGCCCAAAAGGAGGAAAAAAGAAAUGUCAGGUUAAAAGUACAUGUACCAGCAUGCAGGGUCAAUGGAUGAAUAACAACUGUAAAAAGAGAAGCUAGAAGUACGCAGAUCGAGUUGCAGUAGAACAAAUAAAUGUCUAGUCAACCCUACUAUGAUCUAUGCAGAAAAGACAAUUUGUGAACCAAAAGAACUGCAUUAAAUCUUAGUCAAGACAAACCUUGUCUGCAAGCUGUGAAAUGCACUUUUCCAAAGCAACCUGAAGCUCGUUAUUCAAUUUAUCAGAACCAUCUUGAGGACUUGAAGCUUCAGAUGAAUAUAGUAGGCAUUUGCGCAGAUGUUUAACCAGCUCACUUAUUGCACCAACAAUUGCAACUGAUGCGUGCUGCUUUGCAUUUCUUGCAAGUUGUGUUGUAACAUCAAUGAUGUUUAUCUGCAUAUCACGCCGUUUGGCAACAUUCUUAUGAUCCAAGUGCUUAACCACGAUAGAUAAUAAUAGAUGGGAGCUUUCACCUGGUUCAGAGACAGUUGAGAGUAAAUAAAAAUGAGAAACUAUUACAAAAGAAACCAAGAAAUGACAAUGUCCAGUAGGAUGCAUAAAGAGUAAAGAAAGGUAGCAUAUUCUACCUGACUCCUCCAAUAAUGACUGCAAAUAGGCCAACACUGAACCUGCAAGUCCUUUGUCUGGUGACCAAUAAUUUUCAGAGUCAAAACGAUGGAAAAGAGGUUCAAGUACACGUCGUACAGUUGUUACUUCCCUUGCAGAUUGGGCUAUAUUCCAUAGACAAACUCUGGACCAGUAAGAGGGGUUCUUGGUUGCCUCCCUGUUUAAAAAAUAUUAAACGUAGAUAAGAAUGAACCGCAAGUGCAUAAAAGCUACACAUUCUAGAUGUUCUAUCAUCUUACAGUGUGGCCAUUUCCAUUUUAGAACUUGUGAUAUCUGGUAAAGAAGAAACUUUCUGGCUGAUGUCAGGAAAAGAAGAGUCAUGUUUAUCCACUUUGAGCAAUCCUUGGACCCAUUGUUCUGAGAGGUUGGAAUUUUUCUUCUCUACUUCGCAAUUUUCUAAAUGGGUUGGAAGUUCCAUGUAGUUCUCCAAAGUCACUGUUAUAAUCUAUAUCAGAUAAAAUAGUUCAACAUAAAGUUAGAAAAAACCAACACUUGCAAGAACAUGUCAUGGAUUGCUUAAAAUCCAGUAGAAGAGAAAACUCCAUCAAAUUACGAGGUAGAGUGUAGGACUGAGAAGAGUCUCUUACAUGGUCAAAGUCCAUCGAGAUAUGGGAGUUCUUCCCCAUAAAGUGCACCUAGACAAUGAAAAUGUAGAAAGAAAGAUAAUUAUAACGUGCAAGAAAGAAAUUGACUGCAAUGGUGCCAACUAAGAAAAAUGGCCUACCAUAAAGAGUUGCAGAGAAAAAAUUUUAGCAUUACAUCUUGAGAAGAUUUCUAGAUAUUAAAGUUGAGCAUAAUCAUAACUCUAUCUUUGAUGUGAAACUUCAUUAUAAUUAUCUCUUCUUCUCAUGCUGGAUACCAAAUUCAUUUAAUCCGCUUACAAAACCCAAAAUUCAAACCUCCAAUUUCUGUACAAUUCAGUAGUACACUCCAACCCUCCCAAAUUCCUGUUUUUCACUCCUUUCCUCACCUCUUCUCCUCCUGGAUGCAACAGAUAUGAGCGAGGGAACAGCAGCCACAAAUUAGACUAAUUAAUUGAUCACUUAGUUGCACCACAAAAAAAGAUGAACGUAUUUUAUUCUACUCCCUUUUCUGUUUCUCUUUCCAGUGACUUCCCCACUUCAUCCUCCAAAUUUCUCCUUAAACUCAGGUUGGUUUUCUACUUAUUGUUUGGGGGGCACUAGGGAUGAAUACCUAGACGCACCUCAGGUAUUUAAUGGUGCGCUAAUGAUCCCUACUUCCUUCCCCAGUGUGCCUCAUGGCGUUUUCCACAGCCCCUGUAAUAUUUCCUUUAAACACUCGGCAACCAUGCAGGCAUAUAGACAAUGGAAUUUGUCACUGAUGUUAAUUCUCAUGAAAUUGCAAUUAAAUAAAGCCUCAUUUGUAGGAAAUGUUCAACAUCUAAAAUAACAGGUUAUCUGAUAGAAUUAUUAAUUACAGUCAACCCCCCCCCUCCCCCCAAAGACAAGCUACAGCAUAAGCUGAUAGUUAACAUACAGAAAUUAGAAAUACCGAUAUCUUCCUUUCAGAAGUUAGGAUAUGACACCAAUAUGAGAAACCCCUCUAGUGUACUAUUGAUAUUAAAUUUAAUUUUGCUCCAGUUUAGCAGAUUCAAGGAAAAUAUAAAAAUAAGUACGAUGAAGGAUGCUUCUUUUCUAUCAGCACCACACCCACCACGAAUCUCCCCAACAAGGGAAAAACAAGAAAACCACAUCCACCUCAUACUCAGGCAGGCAUGUUUGUACAUGUACAAAAAAUUCAAGGUAGUAAAGGGAAAAAGCAAGUCUACCAAGACAGCCAAAACUUGCAUCCCUGCAGACCUCAAGCACAGUGCUCUGUCAUCAUCUCCAACUUCUCGAGCUAAUUGACACAAUUUCGGUAUGAGGCCCUCCAAGUUGAACAUAUAUGUGCCAUCCAACUGCAUCAAUCAGAAAAGAGGUCAAAUCUUCUUAAUUUGAAAUGACAACUGAAUGUAUAACAUGAAUAUAAGGUUAUUUAGGUCCCCUAUAGACAGUACUAUACGUUGGUUACCUAAUCUUUCUAUAGAAUAUACAACCAAAGAGUGCAUUGUGAAAACCAUUGACAACAAAACUUCUCUGUAAAUUACACUCUGGUUUUGAAUUUGUUCAUGAUUCAAUUUCUUAAAGCAAUUAACUUAUAGCCUACUUCAGGUUCAUUGCCUAUGCGUUAAUCAUUUACUUAUCUAAGGGUGCGUUUGAUAAAACUGAAGUAUGAAAACUGAAGUCUGAAAUCUGAAAUCUGAAGUCUGAAUCCAUUAAGUUAUUAAAUUGUUAAGUAUUAAAUCUACUACAUUUGAAUGCAUAUCACAUUCAGUGAUAAAUGAAUAACUUAUCACUUAAUUUUGGGAGCAAGUUUUGCCUAGGAAAUUCAGUGCCACUUAAUUAAUUCAGAUGUUCAAUUUUUGGUUACCAAACGGUUUGAAUAUGUUAAAAAUCCAUUAAGUUUAAAUGCUGAACUGGGUUAUCAAACGGGGCCUAAUUGAUCAACUUGAUGUUCAACUUACCUGGCCAUUGAUAAAGUCAACUAGUGUAUUGCAACCUAGAAUCUGCAAUUCAUCAUACUGUGGUAGAUCUAAAAGGGUGCGAACCAUCCCAAGCAAACUACUAGCAAAAAGUGGCCUGAAAAAGAUCCCGAUCCUGAUCAAGAUUAAAACUUUGUGGAAGGAGGUGAAGAAAGUGUAAUUCUUUUUUAAUUAUGGACAAGAUGACAUGCAGCUUUUAAGUCAAAUGACAAAACUAUCUUAAUAAGGCAGCAACUUCUGGAGAAAACGCGACAGUAACUUAAGCAUAUCAUUUCGCCAAAUGAUGAUACCUUAGAAAUUUUCAUGCCUUUGAAGAACCAUGAUCUGAGUAAAUAGCAACAAGCUUGAGGAUCUUAUUAACAUAGGAAGAAAUAUUGACAUACUAGCAAAGCAAAACAGUUACAAAAUCUAAAUAGAUAGUUAUAUGGAUCAUUCUGCACUUGGCUAAUUAAAAGCAAGAACUUAACAAGAUAGGUAAAUGGUUGUGCCACAAAGAUUUGAGCUUUCUCAACAACUUCCAGUUACACCCACAAGGCUACUUUUGCUUCUUUGUUGUGGAAAGCUAUGUUACGUGCAUGAUUGCACCCUACAUAAGUCGACAACUUAAAGUUUGAUUCAUCCCAAGCACCAAGGUUUGAUUUAUAUGUAACUUUUAUAAAGUAAACUGCAGAAGAAAAGGAAAGGAUUAAAUUAAUCUUGGCAUCCGCAGACCAUACCCAGUACAACUUCGAAAGCAACUAACAGAUGGACUAGUAGACAUCAGAAUACUAAAUGCAAGUCCUUCCCUUGCCACGAUCAACAGACUACCCUAUGCUAAGAAAAAACAGCCCCAUUUUCCCGUACACUUUUUGUUAGCCAAAAACCUUCUUCAGCAAGAAUCGUUGUCAAAAUCACACACAGCUUAUAUAAACUAUUUUUGUUUGCCACCGUGUCUUACUCCAACCUUCAUUCCCCAAACCCUCCCUGCCAUUCAAAAAAAAAUUUAUCCACAAUCCAAACACCAGCCUCCAUUUCUUCUCUUGCUUGUUGGUGGGGAUGAGUGGAGAUUUAGCGCUCCACAUGUAUCUUAAUUUCUAUAUAUCUUUUCUUUAACAUUUGAAUUCCCUGAAAGUCAUAUCAAGUAAUAUAUCUUUUAUGAUGGCAUAUUAUACUUUAUAGCUCUUUCAAAUAUAGAUAAAGCACGAAGAGUGCAAUCCUGUAUAUGACAAGGUAGUGUGUAAUAUGCUCUCAAAGAAAAUUUUCCUUCUUUUGGAUUGAAAGAUUUUAAAAACGUUAGCACUGCUUUAAAGCUCUUGCAGGAUACCCAGUACAAGACAAGAUGCUUUCUCAUUGCAUUGUUGUAUUUGCUGGCCUUCGUGUAACACUUGACACUUAAACUCUGCAUAUCGAUCUUUAACAAGAAAGAAAGAAAAUUUAAAAUAAAAAUGAAGCAAGGUUACAGCAACCUGACCAAAAAUCAAUUAAUGAGAACUAAAAACAAGUUCCAAAUGGGAGUUGUAGACCCACCGGCAAACAUUCUUAUUCAUUAGAGAGAGACAUAGAGAUUUUGGCAAAAAAUUACAUAGGAACAGUUUGGAGAAUAAAAUUUUAGUUCUUGCUCAAUACUGCCAAAGUAUUGCUCAAAUGAAAACUUACAUCUGUUCCUUACAUGAGGAUAGCAGCUUCCGAUAAAUUAGAAAAACAACUUUUACAGAGCCAAAGUGCUCAUUUCGCAAAUCCUUGUAAAACUUCUGUUCCAAGUUCUCUGUUAUCUGAAUCAGACAAAAUAAAAGCUAAUGUAGGUGACAUAGAAGUUGUAGCUACUAAUAGACCAUCUGACAUAGAAGUUGUAGCACUUGUGGAAUGAUGCAAGUUCACCAUCAUGAGGAAUAUUUUAACAACAAGAAGCAGCCAUGUUUCAGAAGAGGUAUUAUAUAAUUCCAGAAAGCAACUAUAGUUUUUAGAUAAAAGACAAAUGCAGUGAAGUACAUCACAAAUUAAUACACUGCAAACAAAGUGAAGCAACUCUGUUAAGUUCUAUGAACAGGCAAAUUAUGUUUGAAAUGAGAACUGAUACGAAGAAACUUAUGGUUGAGCAAGAUGGACCAAUAGAAAUCCCACCAUCAGAAUGAACAAAUCUUAUCAAACUAUUUUGAUCAAUCUGUAGGGGGUGAAAGUUCCACAGAACCAAAUAAAUGCAACAAUGAAGGUCUACAAAUAUAGAUUUUGUAUAUUAUGUCAAACAGAUAUAAUGUCAAUGGUAUAAACAAUAUUGAUGCUUGUAAAACUCUCUGUACAUUUAGCAUAGGUUUAGUAAACAAGAGCAAAUAAAUGAAUAAGGCUUGCCUUAGGUAUCCUCAAAGGAUUUUUAGAAGCAUACUCACAAAGCUUCCCAAUCUUUCGGUCAUUUGGCUCAGCAUCCUGCCAAAAGAGUUUCAGAGAUUAAAGGCAAAUACAAGCAGACCACCAGUUAAAUCAAAUCGUCACCAGAAAAUUUUAAAAAAAAAUGUGUACCACCACAGUGGACUAUAUUUCGCAUCAUCAUUUUUUUCUUUCCCUGUUUUAAGGUUGUUAAGUCUCACAUUUUACAAGAACAGCGUCACAUACCAAAUCAACUAAGACUUCUUUGGCAGAACUAAGCAUUAUGAAAAUUAGUACAUUUGCUGACAGAAAUAAAAUUGCCAGACUAAGAUGGCAACUGCACAAAAUUCACCUGUGAUCGGGGGAAAAUAUCAGCAAGGAGCUUCUUGUAUCGUUUAACAGGCUGUCUUGACCUUGCCCGCAUUGAAGGACAAAAGAAGCAGAGAUUACCACAUGCUGGUACAACCUUUCUUGACAUUACCCCCAUUUUCUUGUCCUUUUGUUUAAUAUAUUGCAAUUUCAAGCCUCUCCUCUGCAUAAUAUUAAUCCAAUUUACAUCAUAAUUCAGCCAAAAACUUCAUUUCACAAAUGUCCAUCAAAUAUUCAAUAAUUCACAAAAGCUUCUCCAAGAUAUUGGGUAUCCCCAAAAAUUCCAAAAGAAAAGGGAAAAAAAAAAACCAAUUGAGACUAUCAAGAACUCAAUCCCUAAGAAAUUGAUUUUUUCUGAAAAUUCAAAAAUUUAAAAUUUUGGAUCACUAAAACUUUAUAAACCAAAAAGUAAAAUAUCUUGGGAAAAUAAAAAGACCAAUCAUUCAAGAUUUCCAAAUUGAUAUCCAGAAUACCCACAUUAAAAUGUGGGGAAAAAGGCAAGAUUCAGGUGAAAAUAAAAAACGCAGAAUAAGAAAGAAAGAAAGGUUCAAUUUACACAAUUAAAACUGGCAAAAAAAUACGAAAUUUAAUAAGGAUUAAAGGAAACCCACCAAUUAAAUAAUCAAAAACUGUACUGUUCGAUUCAACCUGGCUCCUGCAAUGAUCUUGAUCUCGAGCAGCUAGUAUAACGUCUUCAGAAUUAGAUGACUAGAAGGCCUUAUUCCUUAAUAGCUUCAAAUUUUCACCUGCAUACAACGAGAAUUGUCAGCUAAUUAAUAUCAGAAAAUAAUGUAAAUUCAAUUAAUUCAUGAUUUCAAGAAAAAAAAUUAUAGAUUGCCCAUUUAAUUAAUUUGAAAUUUAAAGAAAAAAAGUUAGUUCAAAUUUACCUCAUAAACGUUAAGACUUUCGGGGAGGCAAAGAGGCUUGAAAUUACCCCCCUCGUCGAGGUUUUCCUGUCUCCUCUUAAAAUUAUAUAUUUCAAAGCCAGAAAUUAAUUAUCUCAUUGAUUAAUUAAAUUAAUUGUAAAUUUUCAAAAGAUUAUAAACUCUGGAAUAUUUUAUUUUGGUAAAAUACUAAUAUUAGUAGAUAAAUGGAAAGAUAAGUCUAGGGUCACAUGGGGGGUUCAGUAAAACGGGUGCAAGAAUAUUGCAUUUUCCUUCUUUAUUUUAUUUUGUUCUUUUGAUUUGGUUUUUCGUUUUGAUUCGAUUGGGAUGUGGGGCUCCAACCGCAGGUACUAAAUAAGUGAGGUCACCCAUCUGUAAUUAAUGCCAUCACAUGAAUCCUAUAAAUCAAUUUCCAAACAAAAAAAAAUUAGAAAAGAUUGUUGCAUGACUUGCAUUAGGAUCGAAAGAUCAAUCAAAUUAUUUAAUAUUCGAAUCGAACUUAACAUGCUAAGAGUUCAUUCAAAUUGGGUUCGUCGACUAAUCAAAUCAAUUUGAAUAAAACGUUUUAUUUCUAAUAAUAUUUAAAUUUGAUAAAAAUCUCGUUCAAAUUCGAUUCGACAAAUAAACAACUCAAAUUAAAAAAAAAAUUUAAUCUCAUUAAAAAUAAUCAAACAAACUUGAACACUAAGGUAUUAUAGUUGAUUAUGCUUGGGCACACCCCUAAACUUGCAUCAUAAAUAAUUUUUUCCAAUCUAUUUUUUUCAUUUUGUAAUCAUAUAUUAUCUCAUGUGCAUCACAUGUAUUAGUAUACUAUCCUAUAAAAGAAUUUGUGAAUAAUCUUCAAUUAAAACACUUACAUGAUUUUUCUUAUGUAGGGAGAAAGGAUGAGUUUUGGUGAUUUGGAAGAGAAAGUGCAAGUGAGAGAUCUCGAGUUCGAGUCUUCCCAUGUAUAAAAAAGAAAAAAAAAAAGAAGCAUUUAUCGAAUGGAAAAAAAUCGUGAUUUUUCUUAUGUAGGAAAGACUUAUCCUAUUAAUAUACGAAUUUAUAAAUUAUAUCCGUGAAGUCUUAAGUUUUGGAAGCCAAUUUAUUAAAUAAAACAUUAAGAGAAAUAAUACAAUGAAGUGGCUAUUGAAAUUUAUAUCAAAGAGAAAAGAAAGGUCAAAAUUUCUUUAAGUAUCAAUCUUCGUAUUUUUAUUUUGAUAUACUGUAAUUUAUAUUAAAGUACUUAAUCUCAACGGUAAAAAAAAUAGGUCAAAAUUUCUAAUUAUCAAUUUUCAAAGUUUAGAUUGAGUAAAACUUUAUCAUGGAUUACGCUUGAUAUUAAAUACUUAUAAUCUUUUUUUUUCCAUUAUCAUACACAAUUAUAUCUACCGCAUGAUCCACAAGUUAUUCAUACACGGAAUCUACAACCAUAACUGCUCACCAUUCUUUUUCCUUCCCGUAUUAUCAAAUAGUAGCAUUACACCAAUUUAACCAUAAUGUUUACCAUACAUCUUUACAAUAAUAAAGGCUCUUUAGGUUGUGAACCAAUUUUGGUGUUAAUUUUGUGUGUUUUCAAAUUUACCUUUAUCUCUGUCUAUACCAUAUAUCAAGGUAGGAAGCCUUUUGGUGUAAAUAAAAAAUUAUCAUCUUAUGAUUUUCUAAAUUACCCUUUAUGUAUAACUAUUCAUUAUCAUAUCUACUUUUGUUUCUUAUAUCUGCUAUCUUUAUCUCUACUGCCUACUAUUAUAUUUGCUUUUACUUCUUUUUUUAUAACUAUCUACUGCCAAAUAACAGUUUAUUUGUACAUUUUAUUGAUGUAAAUGUCAAUUUUUUUGUAUGUAUUAUAAAAAUAUAAAAUCAAAUAUCAUAAAAAAAUAAUUUUAACAAAUAUCUUUAAAAAAUUUUAAAUAUUUAUUUAUUCUUGCGCAUGCAUUGAAUGUACCUUAAGCACUGGUACAAAUUAUUGUUAGACCAAAUCAACCUCACAAUUUUCUACAUUGCAAUUCCCAUCACUGACCAUUGACAUCGAGGGCCGUCACUGGAGGACAGAGUUACCUGAAGAACCAGUCACGCUGCCAAUUUAGAAGGCAUGUGUAGUAAUGAUGGUGGGCUCAAGAACUAGUAAUGCUGGCAAUUGAAAAGUCACAUCUCAUCUGUAGUGGACUCCAUCAAUCAAUGCAUAAAUCCCAACACAACCUUCCGCAAAUUAUGGGGGACUACUUUUCUCUCCUCUUCCAUUUUUAUAAUUUAUUUAUAAAUUUUUUUUUAUCUAUCUAACAAGUGUUCAAGAGACCUCAUUAAUAUACUUCAUGAGUUAAUUUUUUUUUAAAAAAAGAUUAAUUAGAGAAACUGCAUAAAUGCAAGGGAUGGUAGUAAUUAUUAAUGUGUAUAUGUAUGAUAAAUUGGGUGAAAUUUAUAUAUGUUGGGCACGUAUUAGAAAAAUUCAAAAUAUUUUAACAAAUACCUCGUUAAUACACUUAAUUUAUACUAAAUUUAUCAUAUAGAUGCAUACACUUACAUUUAGUGUAGUCCUAUAUUUAUAUACUUUUCCAAAUUAAUAACACUUUAACCAAAUAUUUAACACCUGAUGCCCUAUGCAUUAGGCACUUGUUAGCCAAACUAUUUAUUUAUUGGAUUUUUUUUAACGGGUGCAUUAUGAGCACUUAUUAACACACCUAUAUUCCACUCAAUCUACCAUGUAUAUAUACACACACUAAUAAUUAUUAUUUUCUCUUAUAAUUUAUAUAUUUCUCCUAAUCAAACCCCUUGCAUUUAUAUACUUUUCCUAAUUAAUCUUAUAUUUCUAAAAAUCUAACACCUAAAAUAUAACUUAAUGAUAUGGGUACCCAUUUGACGGUUAUUUAUUUUGGUGUCUUUUGGUCUUCUCUUAAACGCGGUAGUUUUCUUUAUUUUUGGAGUGGGUCAAUCAACAAAUUCUCUGCAUCUUUUUAGCUUUUCAUUUAUUGGUAAUAUAGUCAAAGAUUUCACCCUAUUAUUCGAGAUUUAAAAAAAAUGCUGAUUAUGAGAUCAUCUGACAAUAUCUUGUUAAUUGUGAUUAGCGGUUUCAAAUCCUCAGUUACGGAAGUUUUCGGUCGCCCAAAUGAGAUAUUGUCACGUGAAUUUCACUAACUCAGCUUUAAAAAAUUAUCACGUGACGAGAUUAGUGAAUUUAACACGGAAAGGUCUUUUAUGCCUGCGAAUGGAGAUUUAAAGCCGUGAUCAGCACAUAAGUUGUAGUAUCAUAUGAUUUCUAGGAAUCUUUUUAGUAUGUUCAUAUUGGAAAUGUAACUAUGACAUAGUCCACCUGAGCGCUUGGAAAUUCCAAAUUAUUAAUUCCUUUAUUAUUGUUAUUUUUUUGGUUAGGAACCCCAACCUAGUUAAGAAUAUCGAAGAGAACUUAGUCCACUGUCUAAGAUAUAAAUCUCAGAAAUUAGAGGCCCUUGAUUUCAAUCCCCUUCCUCCCUCCCCACUUCUUUUAUAUAUGGGAUAAUUUCAGAAACCUCCCCUGAGGUUUCUGACAAUUUCACUGACCUCCCCUGAGGUUUCCACAAUUACACUGACCUCCCCUGGCAGAACUUGGGACCCAAUUGCUGACAUCAUAUAAUGCAAAAUUACUAUUAUACCCAAGACAUUUUGUGUUAUUAUAGGACUAAAAUAUGAUAAGGCAGAUGGUGUUUUUGGAUAGUAUUGGAUUGCAUUUCUAUUUAUUUAAUGUAUGGUUAUGAAAUUUGUAAUGAUAUUACUCUUGGAUUGCAGUUUUGGUUUGCACCUUAUUACUGUUAAUGUUUUAUAAAUGACUGUUUUAGUUCUUGGAUUACACCUUACCUCCAAAAUUUGGGAAUUUACCCAAAUUUUCCAUUUUCUAAUAUUCCUACAAAUAUGCAAAAUUAUGCAUAUCCCUCAAAUCUACCCAAUAUUAAUGUUUUGUUAAACUCUAAAUAACAAAAAUAUGAAAUAUAAUAUUUAAAUAUAUUUUAAUACACACAAGUUGGACGGGUAACUAGUGUGUCAGAGAGUUGCCAUAAUCUCCUUAAACCCGCAUGCGGGUUUAAAGAGUAUUUGGAUAUUCUCAUAUGCACCUAUGCAAAUCGAACCAACCGGAUAUCUUAUCCGUAUCCCAUUUUUUUAAAUAAAAAUCUUAUAAAUUUGAAAAAUAAAAUCAAAUUUAGAUGUAUUAGGGUUUUAAAAAUAUUAUAUAAGUGAUAAAAAUUUUAUAAAUUGUAAAAAUAAAAUCAAAUUUAAAUAAUUAAAUGUUAUAUUUGCAUAAGAAAUAAUACAAUAAUCAUAAUAAUGAUAAUACAAUAAUAUUGGUGUAAUAAAACUGCCAUUAAUUUAAAUAUUUACUUAUAAUGCCCAAAGAGCCUAAUUACCAAUUUUUUCUUCUCGCGCUCAAAUAUAACAUUAACCCGCAUGCGAGCUAACCUUGAAAUAGAAAAAACACAGAAUCCCGCUUGCGGGUUUCAACGUUAUUAUGCAGGCGGGAUUUUAACCUGCUUGCUUGUGAACAUGUACCACAUUGCUUUGAAUUUUUGUGACAAGAGGAAAGUUUUGUCUGAUGAAUGUAUUUGUGAAAUGACCUGAGUGGUGGUAGAUGGGUUAAUUGGGUCGGUUGCGUUACCCAAUUGUUUAUAUCCAUAAGUAAAAUUUUAUGAUUCCCAUACCCAUCCCCUCACUUUUUCUUAUUUAUUUCUGAUUUUUAUUAGUUUUCAUUAAUUCACUAAUAUAACUUGUACACCUACCUUAAGGGCAUUUAUGGGAACAAAAUUUCCUCUCUUUCCUGAAAACACUUUUUUAUGUUUACUUUUGUGGUCAUGGGCUGAUUUUGUUACAAAAUCAGAAACCUCAAGGGAGGUCAGUGUAAUUGUGGAAACCUCAGGGGAGGUCAGUGAAAUUGUCAGAAACCUCAGGGGAGGUUUCUGAAAUUAUCCCUUUAUAUAUUGAUGUUUCUCUUAUGCUUCCACAAGAAAGUUGGUCAGACAAUAGAAUCAAUUUCCCUCCAUCCAAAUGUUAUCUGACAUGAAUGUUGAUUGCCGAGCUUGAUUUUGUGGAUUAAAUAACUUGACAUCAACAUCUGUAAAUGUAAUACCUAUUAGUGAGGGGAAAAAAAAAAAUUUUAGGGAAUCCUUCAGUUACAGCUUGCAUUUUGUUUGCUUGUUGGCUGUUGAUUGUAAAUGUAAUAUCAGUUAGUGAGGGGAAAAUUUUUUCUUUUUAAGUUUCGGAAUUGUUUAGAUUUAAAUAAACCUAGCGUGUUUGGAUAGGAGAUUAUUUGAAAUAAUUAUUGUAACACUUUUUGUACUGUGAUAUACAUGAGAUAAAAAAAUGCCGUUGCAAAGAUAAAAAACUGAUUGAAAAUCAUAAUUGUGAUAUGAUGCAAGCAAAAUAAUAUUCCGGAAAAAUAUUUGUGCUCGUUCAGUUGCAGCUCACAUAUUGUCUGCUUGUUUGCUAUUCACAUAUUCGAUGUUGAUGUUGACUACAGGUUGAACUACCUUUAGAUGCCAAUUUAUUACUAUGCAGCUGAACUGGGCAAAAUUUAGGUAUACCCAAUUUUCAAAGAUUUAAUGGUUCAAAUUGUGUUAUACCAUCUUAAAGACCUAAUCUACCCAAAUGUGAUCUACUGGGAGUGGUUGAAUCAUUGUGGCAACACAUUUCGAAGGGAAAAAAAAUGGUAGGAGAUGGGUUGAAUUUGCGAAUUUGAUUCAUAUUUGACUGAUCUCUGUGUCGAGGCGCAAUGGAAAGUUGAAUCAUGUGCUGAAAAGCAUCGUGGAGAAAAUCUCAAACCUGGAAAUUUGAGGGCAGGAGUAAUUGCGCGAGUGUUCAUCCAGAAGGGCUUUUAAGUUUUAUCCCUGGACAACAAGCAUUUAAGAUUUUGCUAGAAGGCAACAAGGAAAUUAAUGUUGGAACUUCCCAUUUCAUUGGUGAAUAUCUGAAUUAACUAGUAACUAAAUUAAGCUCUCAGAGAACUUGUAAAAACCUAUCCAUUUCUCCACAAAUGGGUGCAACAGCUGCUUGAGAAAAACAGUCAGAAUACACAAAGUGCAUCACAGAAGGCCACUGCUCAAGCAAUAUGCUGUGCAAGACUAAGAAUCUUAACAUGCUUCUUCUUCCUCAGCUCGUGUGGAACGGGGCCAAAGA
rnacentral:lncRNA from 1 species